rnacentral:lncRNA from 1 species
GAGGAGGGUACCAGUGCUAGUUAUAGCAUAUAGCUUUAUAGGCACUGACAACUAAUUUGUGAUAUCUAUCCAGUGCCCCUCUUACAGAAAGGACAUAUGUACAGUAUAAUUCCCACACGACGUACAGUUUAACCGGUUCUCUAAUCCGAGAAGAGAAAAUUAACAUAAGAAACCACGAACAUGUUCCCUUCCUUGUCUGUCUGACCAUUGUAGAAAAAAAAGAGAGAAAAAGAAAAGCAGAGUCCACUCUGCCGAGCAGGGUAUGGUACCACCCACAGAAUAAUAUAUAUAUAAAGAUACCCCCAUGAUUUAAUCACCUGAAGAAGAUCUUAUGAACAGGUAAGAAGAUCCAUCGCCGGAAUAAUAUAUACAACUCAAGAAUAAACUAUGGAUAAUAACAUGUAUACUCUCACGCCCUCUUGUUUGGAGUGGAGGGAACAAUAACCAUGCUUAAUCAAGUUCCUCUACCCCCUCUCAAUCCCAUCGGGUCGACCCUUUUGGCGGCACUAAGCCAGCCACCUGCUUCGUAUGCAAAUACAAGGUGAGAUGUAAAGCUAAGGGUUCCUCCGCACGUCUUGUGUU